rnacentral:rRNA from 1 species
GAUGAACGCUGGCGGCGUGCCUAAUACAUGCCAGUCGAGCGAACAGACGAGGAGCUUGCUCCUCUGACGUUAGCGGCGGACGGGUGAGUAACACGUGGAUAACCUACCUAUAAGACUGGGAUAACUUCGGGAAACCGGAGCUAAUACCGGAUAAUAUAUUGAACCGCAUGGUUCAAUAGUGAAAGACGGUUUUGCUGUCACUUAUAGAUGGAUCCGCGCCGCAUUAGCUAGUUGGUAAGGUAACGGCUUACCAAGGCAACGAUGCGUAGCCGACCUGAGAGGGUGAUCGGCCACACUGGAACUGGGACACGGUCCAGACUCCUACGGGAGGCAGCAGUAGGGAAUCUUCCGCAAUGGGCGAAAGCCUGACGGAGCAACGCCGCGUGAGUGAUGAAGGUCUUCGGAUCGUAAAACUCUGUUAUUAGGGAAGAACAAAUGUGUAAGUAACUAUGCACGUCUUGACGGUACCUAAUCAGAAAGCCACGGCUAACUACGUG